rfam:Rattus norvegicus chromosome 1, whole genome shotgun sequence.
GGGGAUUUAGCUCAGUGGUAGAGCGCUUGCCUAGCAAGCGCAAGGCCCUGGCAAGGCCCUGGGUUCGGUCCCCAGCUCCG